AGGCAGCAGUGAGGAAUAUUGGACAAUGGGCGCAAGCCUGAUCCAGCCAUGCCGCGUGCAGGAUGACGGUCCUAUGGAUUGUAAACUGYUUUUGCACAGGAAGAAACACACCCUACGUGUMGGGACUUGACGGCUACUGUCGUAGAAUAAGUGAUCAGGCUAACUCCGUGCCAGCAGCCGCGGUAAUA
rnacentral:rRNA from 1 species